rnacentral:rRNA from 1 species
CACGUAGGCACCAAGCGUUGUCCGGAUUUAUUGGGCGUAAAGAGCUCGUAGGCGGUUCAGUAAGUCGGGUGUGAAAACUCUGGGCUCAACCCAGAGACGCCACCCGAUACUGCUGUGACUUGAGUACGGUAGGGGAGUGGGGAAUUCCUGGUGUAGCGGUGAAAUGCGCAGAUAUCAGGAGGAACACCGGUGGCGAAGGCGGUUCUCUGGGCCUUACCUGACACUGAGGAGCGAAAGCGUGGGGAGCAAACAGG